rnacentral:rRNA from 1 species
UACGUAGGUGGCAAGCGUUGUCCGGAUUUACUGGGCGUAAAGAGCGUGUAGGCGGUCCGGUAAGUCAGCUGUGAAAGUCAAGGGCUCAACCCUUGAAUGCCGGUUGAUACUGUCGGGCUAGAGUCCGGAAGAGGCGAGUGGAAUUCCCGGUGUAGCGGUGAAAUGCGUAGAUAUCAAGAGGAACACCUGAGGUGAAGACGGGUUGCUGGGCUGACACUGACGCUGAGGCGCGAAAGCCAGGGGAGCAAACGGG